rnacentral:rRNA from 1 species
UACAGAGGGUGCAAGCGUCAAUCGGAUUUACUGGGCGUAAAGGGCGCGUAGGCGGUUAUUUAAGUUUGAUGUGAAAUCCCUGGGCUUAACCUAGGAACUGCAUUGAAUACUGGAUAACUAGAGUAUUGUAGAGGGUAGUGGAAUUUCCGGUGUAGCGGUGAAAUGCGUAGAGAUCGGAAGGAACACCAGUGGCGAAGGCGGCUACCUGGACAAAUACUGACGCUGAGGCGCGAAAGCGUGGGGAUCAAACAGG